rnacentral:rRNA from 1 species
UACGGAGGGUGCAAGCGUUAUCCGGAUUCACUGGGUUUAAAGGGCGCGUAGGUGGGCAAGUAAGUCAGUGGUGAAAUCUCCGGGCUUAAUCCGGAAACUGCCAUUGAUACUAUUUGUCUUGAAUACUGUGGAGGUCAGCGGAAUAUGUCAUGUAGCGGUGAAAUGCUUAGAUAUGACAUAGAACACCAAUUGCGAAGGCAGCUUACUACACAGUUAUUGACACUGAGGCACGAAAGCGUGGGGAUCAAACAGG